GAUCAUGGCUCAGGAUGAACGCUGGCGGCGUGCUUAACACAUGCAAGUCGAACGAAGACAUCUGAGUACUUGCACUUGGAUGGACUGAGUGGCGGACGGGUGAGUAACGCGUGGGUAACCUGCCUUAUACAGGGGGGAUAACAGUUGGAAACGACUGCUAAUACCGCAUAAGCGCACGGUAUCGCAUGAUACAGUGUGAAAAACUCCGGUGGUAUAAGAUGGACCCGCGUCUGAUUAGCUAGUUGGUGAGGUAAGGGGCUCACCAAGGCAACGAUCAGUAGCCGACCUGAGAGGGUGACCGGCCACAUUGGGACUGAGACACGGCCCAAACUCCUACGGGAGGCAGCAGUGGGGAAUAUUGCACAAUGGGGGAAACCCUGAUGCAGCGACGCCGCGUGAGUGAUGAAGUAUUUCGGUAUGUAAAACUCUAUCAGCAGGGAAGAUAAUGACGGUACCUGACUAAGAAGCACCGGCUAAAUACGUG
rnacentral:rRNA from 1 species